rnacentral:lncRNA from 1 species
UUCAUUUAUGUAUCCACAUUGCUAGGAAGCAUAUCAUCCGUCUAAUCCAAACAUAAACUAUUCUCGUUGUUGAAACUGGUGACGCACAAGCUGACGUAACGUUAGUGGAGACUUCAUCUCAAAAAACAGCCUGCAUGGGCUAAAAUCCCGGGGGGCGCGUAUGGCUCGUAUCAUUUGCGAGGCACGCGACGGGAGCCUUGAGGAGCUUUCCAUGCUAGAGCGCCUCUAAACCCAGGUCUCACUUGGAGAUCGAUCUCACUCGGAGAUCAUGAGUCUGUUGUAGAGUGGCGUCAUUUUACGUCCAGUCCACCGAACCAGUGUGCACAAUUGCUGGCGGUGGAUACCAGACUCCCCCCACGGGUCGUCAUGUGCGAGGCAAGGUCGGGGAUAAGAUUUCACGGCAGCAAUUGAAGAUAAAAUUGAGAUUCUUUAUGUAAAUGCUAUUAGGCUGCUACAUUUGCACAAUGAGUGAGUGCAAAGCUUCUCUUUAAUUGAUAUUUGUCAUUAUUCAAGCAGACUAUUGCCUAAUACGUCUGAGUCUACAUUCACUUUAUCCACGAAAAUGCUUCAAAAUCGCGUUUUUCGUCGGUAAAUAGCAUUGUAACCUUGCGUCAGUUGACACACGCUUUCACUGCCGCAUCCGGACUCUCAGUGCAUAUUUGUCUAUGCAUCAUGAGCUUAAGUAUUGUUUCCUUUUUCGUUAGAUCAAGCUUUAACUUGUAGCGCUUAAUCGCUCAUGCCAAGCAAAGUUUGCGGACUUGUUAAAGGUUAAAAGAAAAUAUAUUUCCUUCAACAGAUGUCUAUAAAAUGAGGCUGCGAAUGAGCGGUUUUCUUCUGGCAAUGAUGGUACUAUAGCACGUUGCUAAUGGAAGGCGGUCAAAAAUAAGAUUAUUUGCAGUUGUGCUUCAUCGUCACUUAUUUGCCAAAUGCAAUUUCAAUUGCUGCUGUUAUCCCCGGCUAUAGUGUCUACGGUGGCGAGCUUUCUCCGCGGACCUUCAACUUCAAGACCUUCUACUUCAAGACCUUCAACUUCUAAACAACUAAAGGGAUAUUCUCGUCAUACUGCACUGUCCAUGACGUGCAUGUCGGGUCAUCGACAUGCAUGUUCAAUACCAUCAGUGCACAUGCUGCACCAGACUAUAUUUACGGACGUUGACUGUUUGCUUUAGGCACUGUUUCAAGCAUUGUACGAUGGCGGAUAACAAAAGUACCUAUUUGUUAACGUUUUCAAGUUCCAUUCGGAGUAUCCGAAACUACGACGCAAUGUUAGUCGGAAAAAACGUAUCUAGUUAAUCAUGUUAUCGCAUGAUGUUCUUGUUCAUUGGCAAACAUUAUUUCAGCAGUCGAUACGUGCUCCAAACUUCAGUAAAUGUUACUAUAUAGUCCCCGUUCGUCACAAACAACCGUUGACAUUUCGUCAACCUCAAAUUCGAAUAUAUUAACCGUUUACACGCACGAGAAUAUCCCUUUAUCCAAACUAGCUAGUGUGUCUACUGUUUUCUUACUAGGCAAACAAAAGUUUGUCACAGCAUGUGCGCAGUUCAUUUUACCUCAAUGUGCAUUUAUACUAAAAGUCAUUCGUCCACAAGCAAGGCAUUUGCGCUAUUGACGCAAGCUUUCAUGAAGGCCAAACCAAUGCUGAUUCGUCAAUGCUGAUUGUCAGCUUGAAAGUAAAGAUGAGCAAAGUGGUUCAACUGAAUCUUAUGGUUGCAGUAGGGCAUAUUAGAAGUAAGUGACAAGUAUGUGUCAGCAAUUGCUUAUGCUUCUUAACCCUAGAUACUUUUGAUUCAAUCCUUUUAGUGAUGACGUAAUGUGGCAGAAAACAGUAGACACACUUAACCUCAUCGGGAACCCUGAAUGAUUGGUAUUUGUGAGCAUGUGUGCCUGUGAGUGUGUAAGGGUGGAUGUGGGUGUGUGGGUAUGUAUGUGCGUAUGUGAGGAUGUGCGUGUCAUCUUACAAGUAAUUUAGUGAAUGAGUGCAUAGGUACUAGUUUUCAAGUAAAUACGUGCAUGAGUGCAUGUAGUCAGUGGUGUAUGGAACUCGCAUUGUGCCUGCCUGCUGCCAACGAAAUAUGCAAGCCCACACAGAGAAAACAGUUUUGUUGUGCGAAACUUCAUGCUGCUGGCAGGGUUUACAUGCAAGUCACAUAUUGUAGGUCUACCAUAAGCAGAGCGAUGUGACAUCUGAUAAGUAACUCACAGCAACACAUACUCUACAUGUCCAGGGAAAGUGAGUUGUGCUCGGAACAGAUUGGCCAGACAGUUUGUCCUAUCAAAUUCAGAAUUGUUUCAUCCUCCUCACAGUUGUCAUUAACACUUCAUGAGCACACAUUAUUGCUAGAUCUGAAUGCCAGCUACCUAUUGCACCGCUGGCACGUAGUUGGAGACAAAGGUGCCGCCAGUUUUCCACCUCGCUGCUGAUACAAUGCAAUACUGCUACAAAAUGUCCGUGUUCUGUGUUUUUAGUGUUGUAUGUUUGUAUAUGAGUUUUGCGUCGUGUGAACAUUACCUACAUGAGUUUAAAGUGUUCCCGCGAAAGUAGGUACUGAAUUAGCUCAAGCCAGCAUUGCGUUGCGGAUAUAUUUGUAGGUCAUACAAUGUUUUAUGGCGUCAUUUACGACACUUUCUGUUUUUCUUGUCGUUGUAUGCACGUGAGUUGUGCCGCAUGUUGCGCUUGCAAAUCAUGUUCUCAAUGUCAUUUUCUUUUGGUACAAUUGGUCACCACUACACAUCACUCGCAUACACUCGCCCAAGCAAGUCGGAUAUCAAUCACUGUCCAGAAGUGCAUGAUGCAUUCAACCACGCAUAGAACACUGGCACACCAAGAAUAUGAACUCACGCAAAAACGAGAGGGCUAUCACACGACUUCGGAUUGGACACACCGGUAUCACACACAACUACAUCAUCACAAGAAGCCCGAGACCGAAAUGCAACACCUGCAACACUUUCAUCGCUGUCAAACAUCUGCUACUCACAUGUCCACAAUACCAACACCACAGGACAAACAUACAAACAUACUGCAGAGACGCCAACAUCCCACUAACACUCACAACACUGCUCGGGGACUUACACCCCGAGCUAACAACACUACUCAUCCACUAAAGACACAACACUGGGCUGAUCAAUGACCUGUAAAUCUCCUCCCCUAGAGCCAAGGACAAAAAAGCCAAAAAAGCCAAAAAAAGAAGCCAAAAAGAAAAAAACAACAUUCAAAACAAUGAGAAUCAAAAUAAAAGACCCCAGAAUGGCAAAAUGGCAAAAACAAAAAACAGAAAACAAAAAAAAAGUAAUAGAAGGGGCAAUCCGGCUACCCGGGAGGAGAUAGCUAGGAACCCUGACCCACCCCUCAGCCCACCCUUACGAGCCAAGAAGACGACGGACACUUCAAGACAACGGACGGACCAACAACGAAGACGGACGACAGAACCGGGCCCAAAUACAGAACGCUGUGGUGGCCCGUAAGCCACAAAUACCAUACCAUACCAUACCAGUGCAUCAUGCAGCAGAAGAAGCUUCAUUGAACACACUCGUCAUCAUGAACGGCAUCUAGGAGCUUCAUGAGUUUGGAUCUGUGACCAGUUGAUUUCGCAGUAUCCAAUGGCAACGUGUAUGACCAGGCGCCGCUUGGACGCCUUGUCCAGUCACGUCUUCUGGGACUGUGUGAUGACUGCCUCUGCACUCUCAAGUGCCAGUUUCUGCCUCCGGCCUAUUUCUUUAUCAAAGGAUGCUGUUAGCUGAACGAACAGCUCUGCUCCAAGAUUCCAAACGUUUUUACGGUAUUGUAUGCCUACAAAACGUUAGUAUUUGGUAAUAGUCGGAUGAACUGACCUUUAUGGGUGGGUAUUCAACGUGGAAUCAAGUAGGCUUGUAGCCCUCUGCCUAUUGACUUCUAAGGGUUUUAGUAAAAUUUAUAUAAUAUCUCAUCUGAAAUGCAUUUUCACUCUCAGUCGUCGAAAUUGAAAAA